UUGAACCGGGUUAGGUAGAUUUUUCUUUGAUAUUUUUAGGACCCUGAGGACUCUCUUGGACUAAGAUGGGUAAGGUUAGAAUGCAACCUAUAAUGUACACACCUGCUAAUAACUAAAUGAACUUGAGGGUGCGAUGUCUAGGCUCGUUUGUAGAUUCGUAAAUUAUGCCUUAAUUUUUCACUUGUCUUGCUUGAACGCUCAUGUGAGAUUGUUGACAAACUAAUUCGGAAUGAGUUGUAUGUCAAGUGUGUAUGAGGUAAUACCUGUAAUCUGUGCUUGCAUGUGAUACCUAGAACUUGUCGGUGUGUUUGCAAACCGAAAUGGAAGUUGUAUGGUCUCAGAAAUGAUUGAGGCAUUUCUAUGUGUAGCUGGUCUAAUUAUGAAUCCACCUAUACGUAUCACCAUAGUUAACCCCUUUGAG
rnacentral:lncRNA from 1 species